GCUGAGCAUGUACAAGGCCCUGAGUUCAGUCCUCAGUAUCAAAAAGAUUAAGAGAAUCCUGGACUUAAAGCCAUAUUUCAUAAAGUUAAGAAGUUAAGAGAUUAUUAUUAGGGUUUGGAGAGGUGGCUCAAGGGUUAAGAAUACUGGCUACUCUUAGGACUGGAUUUGAUUCCCAACACCCACAUGGUGGCCUACAACCGUCUGUAAUUCCAGUCCCAAGUUAUCCAACACCUCAGAUAGAGCAAUGCUGCACAAGCAGGUAAAAUACCCAUCCAUACACAUAAAAUAAAUAAUUUUCUUUAAAAAGAAGUAUUAGCAAACAAGGUUCAGGAGGAAAAGUAGAUAGAACUGGAGGAGAGGCAGUGGGUGACAGUAAAACACAGUAGGAGGAAGGAUGGGGGGUGAGGAUAGAGAUUUUAGUGCAGGUGUGGCAGACUAGCUACCGAAGAGCCAUAGAGUCUAAGGAAGCCCUGUGUUCUGCAGGUAAGUUUAAACAAUAUAAAAUUGAAAUUUGCUUGUAUAAACAUAUGUGGAAAGGGCUGGAGAGAUGACCAUACAAGCAUGAGCAUCUGAGUUCCUAAAUGCCCAGAACUCACAUGAAGCCACACCUGGUAGCACAUACCUUUUAAUCCUUGUGGUCCUUUACUCAGAUGGAGGUGGAGACAAGAAUCCUAGGAAUUACUGAGCCAAGUAGGCUGGUAUACAUGACAUUAAACAUUAAAAAGAUUCUGUCUUAAGAUGGGAGACAAGGACUCUUUGACCUCCCCCCCCCCCCAUACAUGCUACAAAUGGGCCUAUGGUCAUACAAACACAGAUGUGCAGACAUCUGUCUGUAUACACACAGCAGGAAGGAAAAACUGUAGGCCUUGAGAUAGGCUAUAAUUUACUGUCCACUGCAUUAUUAUAUAUGAGCAAAUAAAGUCAAGAAUAAAGUUUGAGAUCUAGAGAGUGGUGUGGAUGUUUGUGUGCAGCUCAGCUGCUCAGGGGUAGAUCCCUUGCUUAGUUUGUAUGCAAAGCCUUGCGUUUAAUCCUUUACACUGC
rnacentral:lncRNA from 1 species